CUAGUUAUGACAAGAUAAGGGAGUUAUUAACAGAGUGGUUACAGUUUCACCAAUUAAAUGAUAUUUUUAAGAUGGAUAACAAGAACGGCUUUAGUUAAAGGGUGGUUAGAAAAUAACAUUAAAUUGUUGUCGAAAAUGUACAGUUUGCUCUUUGAGUGGCAUACGAAAGAUGAACAGGUUAAAUCUGUAAUGAUACACUGGGCAAAGGAUUUGGGACAUAAUAUCCAGAUGGCAGACUGGGAAAGGUUAUGGAAAACAGAUUUGAAAUUUGUGGCAUGUUGUACGCUGAAAGAAAAUUAUAUGAAAAUGAUGUACCGGUGGUAUUUGACUCCUAGUAAGUUAGCAAGAAUGUAUAGAACUAGUACAAAUACAUGCUGGAAAUGUAAAAAAAGAGAAGAUACUUUUUAUCAUAUAUGAUUGUCGUGUAAGGUAAUGAAAGCUUUCUGGGAAAUGAUAUAUAAUGAAAUGAAAAAAUGUUUAAAAUAACUUUUGUUAAAAAAGAAGCUUUUCUAUUAGGAAUUAUAGGUACCGACAUUCCAAAGGAAAAGAGAAGAUUAUUUAUGUAUGGGACAACAGCCCACGGAUGUUACUAGCCCAGAGAUGGAAAGAAGAAAGAGUCCCUACCAGAGAGGAAUGGCAAACUAAGCUGAUGGACUAUGCUGAAAUGACAAAGCUGACUGGAAAGCUCAGGAACCAAGAGGACAAAAACUUUUAAAAAGAAUGGGAAAAAUUCAUAAUAUACUUAGGACAGCAUUGCAUGCAGAUGGAAACAUUAGCAGGAUUUUAAUCUCAUUUGUAAUGUAACAAAUGUUAUGGAUGAUAUGGAUGUUAGAAUUCCUGCUCCGUGAUUGCAGUCAUGGGAUUUUUGUCUAUCACAUGACGGCGUAUAUUUUGACUCCACAAAGUGGGAAGUGACGGAGACAGGAUGUUUGUGUUACUGUGUUCCGUGAAGUGGGACUAUUGUCCUUUGUUCUUUUUCUCUUUGCUGUCUGAUGCUAGAGAGAGCGGGAGCCAUGUUGCAGUGCUCCGUGUGUAUUUAUAUGUAAAUAAAAUAGAUUAGCCAAAAUGCUGAAUUGCUGAGGUCUGUCACGCAAGCUGUGAAGACUCUGCGGAUCCCUAAGUGUGCCAGUGUCUGUUGACAUCGGUCACUGUGAUGUUCGGGCUGAAGAUAGCUUUUGAAGCUCCUGAACGAUUGACCAGGAGGGAGAGAACAUGCCAGUCAGGCAUGUGUCUCUGCCAGGGUCCUACUCGAGUGUAGGACAAGCUCCUGACAAUGGAUUGAUAUAAAAUAUAGAUUAAGGAAUAAUAUGCAGUUUCAAAUGUUGGCAAUAGGACCCAUGAAGGGGAUGGGGGAAGUCUCGAG